ACUUUCUUAGUAUAUUAGUACAAUUGACUUCCAAUCAGUUAGAUCUAGACCCAACCUAGAAUAAAGUA